CUCUGCUCCUACCAGCGAUGGGUCGGAGAGGAGAGCGUUUCUGGAGCGUGGGGAGCCAUUCAAACCAAAUGGCCAGGUUCAGGCUUGUGGAGGACGUGAACUGGAAGAUCUUGACUUGGGUGGAAAGAACCCAAGUUCACAUACCAGCUCCUUCGGCUGACAGGAGACAAGACCCCGUGGAGGCUCUGUGUUCAUCUCACAGAGGGGUGACCUCUGUGUCACUCCCCAGCGAUUCCCCGUGGCUAAUCCAAGCACACCAGCACGCUUCCCAAAAGAAGAGGUGUUCCAGCAACCCUUGAACCGAGUGAAAAGUUCUCUCUUUUUAGGUGACUUCACAGCGAGCAGGCUCAAGACAACACAGGACGAGAUACUCUGUGGAGAGUUGCCUCCUAAGCUCUCAAUUCCUUGACCUGGAUAUUGUAGGUUCAAAAACAGAUCCCCCUUUUACUUUUGAAACUGUCUGUUUACUGUAUGCAUGUAAAAUAAUUACUGAAACCAGGUGUAUAUAAGCAUUGUACCUAAGGAAGACUUACAGUACCUCAGAGAGAAAGAGCACUCUGAGGAGUCUUUUUUGGUUGGUUGUUUUAGUACAGUACAUUCAAUUAUUUCACACCAUUUUAUACGA